GCCCGGGUGAUGAAAUUGGUAGACAUGCGUGGUUUAGGUCCACGUGCCGAAAGGUGUGUCGGUUCGAGUCCGACCCCGGGCACCA
rnacentral:tRNA from 1 species